rnacentral:rRNA from 1 species
CCAGACUCCUACGGGAGGCAGCAGUGGGGAAUAUUGGGCAAUGGGCGCAAGCCUGACCCAGCAACGCCGCGUGAAGGAAGAAGGCUUUCGGGUUGUAAACUUCUUUUAUGAGGGACGAAAGAAAUGACGGUACCUCAUGAAUAAGCCACGGCUAACUCCGUGCCAGCAGCCGCGGUAAUACGGAGGAUGCGAGCGUUAUCCGGAUUUAUUGGGUUUAAAGGGUGCGUAGGCGGGCUGUUAAGUCAGCGGUAAAACCCGGGGGCCAACCCCCGGCGAGCCGUUGAAACUGGCUGUCUUGAGAUGUCGAGAGGUAUGCGGAAUGCGCAGCGUAGCGGUGAAAUGCUUAGAUAUUGCGCAGAACUCCGAUUGCGAAGGCAGCAUACCGGCGGCGAUCUGACGCUGAGGCACGAAAGCGUGGGUAUCGAACAGGAUUAGAUACCCCUGUA